AGAACGAACGCUGGCGGCAUGCCUAAUACAUGCAAGUCGAACGAACUCUUCGGAGUUAGUGGCGCACGGGUGCGUAACGCGUGGGAAUCUGCCCCUUGGUUCGGAAUAACAGUUGGAAACGACUGCUAAUACCGGAUGAUGACGAAAGUCCAAAGAUUUAUCGCCAAGGGAUGAGCCCGCGUAGGAUUAGCUAGUUGGUGAGGUAAAGGCUCACCAAGGCAACGAUCCUUAGCUGGUCUGAGAGGAUGAUCAGCCACACUGGGACUGAGACACGGCCCAGACUCCUACGGGAGGCAGCAGUAGGGAAUAUUGGACAAUGGGCGAAAGCCUGAUCCAGCAAUGCGCGUGAGUGAUGAAGCCUUAGGUUGUAAAGCUCUUUUACCGAGAUGAUAAUGAACAGUAUCGGAGAAGUAACGCCCCGGACUAACCGUCCGUCGCCAAGCAACGCCCGAC
rnacentral:rRNA from 1 species